GAAAAUGAAUUUUAAUGAAUGUUUUGAUGAUUUGGGUGCUAAAAUAGAUGAGAGGUGUCAAUAUUUUGGUCCAAAUGGAUGUUUUAGGUGGUUUUGGACUGUUCCGGAUGGGUGGGGGACCUGGUAUGGACAAGUAAGGGUAACAUUUCCAACAAAUCUUAAAUGUAAAUAUUAUUAUGUCCAUAGAUUGAAGUUUCAGGUGGAGAGCAAGAUGAAAAAUAUGCAAAAUUACAUGCAUGCAACCCAUUUAUGCCAUUUUUCUCUUUGUUUGUAGGCCUGACCGUUUGUCCUUGAGCCGUAGAUGGUCAACAAUCCGCUAGCUGUCUUGCUCUGACUGGUGCACUGGACAUAAUUUCAAUUGUCAGCCAGACCAUGAUUGAGCUUAAGGGUUGUGCUGCGGAUGCAGCCUGUGCAGUUCCGGGAGAAAGACACUGUCUUGGGCAAUGCGGUCUGGUAUCAGGUCUGGAUGAUCCUUGCCUGACUGCGGGUUUGUGUACACCUCAAUCCGACUCUGUGUCCUGAACAGAGGCCGCAGUGGUGCAGCGCUUGUGGACGAUCCAUUAACAUCCUGAAAGGUCAACACUACACCAAGCUGGGAAAAUUGAUCCUGAUAGUCAUCCCCAGGCCUGACCGUUUGUCCUUGAGCCGUAGAUGGUCAACAAUCCGCUAGCUGUCUUGCUCUGACUGGUGCACUGGACAUAAUUUCAAUUGUCAGCCAGACCAUGAUUGAGCUUAAGGGUUGUGCUGCGGAUGCAGCCUGUGCAGUUCCGGGAGAAAGACACUGUCUUGGGCAAUGCGGUCUGGUAUCAGGUCUGGAUGAUCCUUGCCUGACUGCGGGUUUGUGUACACCUCAAUCCGACUCUGUGUCCUGAACAGAGGCCGCAGUGGUGCAGCGCUUGUGGACGAUCCAUUAACAUCCUGAAAGGUCAACACUACACCAAGCUGGGAAAAUUGAUCCUGAUAGUCAUCCCCAGGCCUGACCGUUUGUCCUUGAGCCGUAGAUGGUCAACAAUCCGCUAGCUGUCUUGCUCUGACUGGUGCACUGGACAUAAUUUCAAUUGUCAGCCAGACCAUGAUUGAGCUUAAGGGUUGUGCUGCGGAUGCAGCCUGUGCAGUUCCGGGAGAAAGACACUGUCUUGGGCAAUGCGGUCUGGUAUCAGGUCUGGAUGAUCCUUGCCUGACUGCGGGUUUGUGUACACCUCAAUCCGACUCUGUGUCCUGAACAGAGGCCGCAGUGGUGCAGCGCUUGUGGACGAUCCAUUAACAUCCUGAAAGGUCAACACUACACCAAGCUGGGAAAAUUGAUCCUGAUAGUCAUCCCCAGGCCUGACCGUUUGUCCUUGAGCCGUAGAUGGUCAACAAUCCGCUAGCUGUCUUGCUCUGACUGGUGCACUGGACAUAAUUUCAAUUGUCAGCCAGACCAUGAUUGAGCUUAAGGGUUGUGCUGCGGAUGCAGCCUGUGCAGUUCCGGGAGAAAGACACUGUCUUGGGCAAUGCGGUCUGGUAUCAGGUCUGGAUGAUCCUUGCCUGACUGCGGGUUUGUGUACACCUCAAUCCGACUCUGUGUCCUGAACAGAGGCCGCAGUGGUGCAGCGCUUGUGGACGAUCCAUUAACAUCCUGAAAGGUCAACACUACACCAAGCUGGGAAAAUUGAUCCUGAUAGUCAUCCCCAGGCCUGACCGUUUGUCCUUGAGCCGUAGAUGGUCAACAAUCCGCUAGCUGU